rnacentral:rRNA from 1 species
CGUAGGGUGCGAGCGUUAAUCGGAAUUACUGGGCGUAAAGUGUGCGCAGGCGGCUCCGCAAGUCGAGUGUGAAAUCCCCGAGCUUGACUUGGGAAUUGCGCUCGAAACUACGGAACUGGAGUGUGGCAGAGGAAGGUGGAAUUCCACGUGUAGCGGUGAAAUGCGUAGAGAUGUGGAGGAACACCGAUGGCGAAGGCAGCCUUCUGGGCCAACACUGACGCUCAUGCACGAAAGCGUGGGGAGCAAACAGGAUUAGAUACCCUGGUAGUCCACGCCCUAAACGAUGAUGACUAGUUGUUGGAGGAGUUAAAUCCUUUAGUAACGCAGCUAACGCGUGAAGUCAUCCGCCUGGGAGUACGGUCGCAAGAUUA